rnacentral:rRNA from 1 species
UUGAACGCUGGCGGCAUGCCUUACACAUGCAAGUCGAACGCGAAAGCGGGGCAACCCGCAAGUAGAGUGGCGAACGGGUGAGUAAUACAUCGGAACGUGCCCAGUAGCGGGGGAUAACCUCUCGAAAGAGAGGCUAAUACCGCAUACGUCCUACGGGAGAAAGAGGGGGAUCGCAAGACCUCUCACUAUUGGAGCGGCCGAUGUCGGAUUAGCUAGUUGGCGGGGUAAAAGCCCACCAAGGCUACGAUCCGUAGCUGGUCUGAGAGGACGGCCAGCCACACUGGAACUGAGACACGGUCCAGACUCCUACGGGAGGCAGCAGUGGGGAAUUUUGGACAAUGGGCGCAAGCCUGAUCCAGCCAUGCCGCGUGAGUGAAGAAGGCCUUCGGGUUGUAAAGCUCUUUCGGCGGGGACGAAACGGUUCGUGUUAACACCACGGACUUCUGACGGUACCCGCAGAAGAAGCACCGGCUAACUACGUGCCAGCAGCCGCGGUAAUACGUAGGGUGCAGGCGUUAAUCGGAAUUACUGGGCGUAAAGCGUGCGCAGGCGGUCUCUUAAGACAGGUGUGAAAUCCCCGGGCUUAACCUGGGAACUGCGCUUGUAACUGAGAGGCUUGAGUGUGCCAGAGGGGGGUGGAAUUCCACGUGUAGCAGUGAAAUGCGUAGAGAUGUGGAGGAACACCGAUGGCGAAGGCAGCCCCCUGGGGUAACACUGACGCUCAUGCACGAAAGCGUGGGGAGCAAACAGGAUUAGAUACCCUGGUAGUCCACGCCCUAAACUAUGUCAACUGGUUGUCGGGGAAGCAAUUCCUUGGUAACGAAGCUAACGCGUGAAGUUGACCGCCUGGGGAGUACGGCCGCAAGGUUAAAACUCAAAGGAAUUGACGGGGACCCGCACAAGCGGUGGAUUAUGUGGAUUAAUUCGAUGCAGCGCGAAAAACCUUACCUACCCUUGACAUGCCAGGAAGCUCUCAGGGAUGGGAGUGUGCCCGAAAGGGAACCUGGACACAGGUGCUGCAUGGCUGUCGUCAGCUCGUGUCGUGAGAUGUUGGGUUAAGUCCCGCAACGAGCGCAACCCUUGCCAUUAGUUGCUACAUUCAGUUGAGGCACUCUAAUGGGACUGCCGGUGACAAACCGGAGGAAGGUGGGGAUGACGUCAAGUCCUCAUGGCCCUUAUGGGUAGGGCUUCACACGUAAUACAAUGGCCGGUACAGAGGGCAGCCAACUCGCGAGAGGGAGCUAAUCCCAGAAAGCCGGUCGUAGUCCGGAUUGCAGUCUGCAACUCGACUGCAUGAAGCCGGAAUCGCUAGUAAUCGCGGAUCAGCAUGUCGCGGUGAAUACGUUCCCGGGUCUUGUACACACCGCCCGUCACACCAUGGGAGUGGGUUUCACCAGAAGUAGUUAGCCUAACCGCAAGGAGGGCGACUACCACGGUGAGAUUCAUGACUGGGGUG